AUUGAACGCUGGCGGCAGGCCUAACACAUGCAAGUCGAACGGUAACAGGAGUCAGCUUGCUGAUUCGCUGACGAGUGGCGGACGUGUGAGUAAUGUCUGGGAAACUGCCUGAUGGAGGGGGAUAACUACUGGAAACGGUAGCUAAUACCGCAUAACGUCGCAAGACCAAAGCGGGGGACUGUCAGGCCUCUUGCCAUCGGCAGUGCCCAGAUGGGAUUAGCUAGUAGGUGGGGUAACGGCUCACCUAGGCGACGAUCCCUAGCUGGUCUGAGAGGAUGACCAGCCAACCUGGAACUAAGACACGGUCCAGACUCCUACGGGAGGCAGCAGUGGGGAAUAUUGCACAAUGGGCGAAAGCCUGAUGCAGCCAUGCCGCGUGUAUGAAGAAGGCCUUCGGGUUGUAAAGUACUUUCAGCGAGGAGGAAGGUGUUGAGGUUAAUAACCUCAGCAAUUGACGUUACUCGCAGAAGAAGCACCGGCUAACUCCGUGCCAGCCGCCGCGGUAA
rnacentral:rRNA from 1 species